rnacentral:rRNA from 1 species
AUGAAUUAGGCAAAAAUUGUGUUCGCCUGUUUAACAAAAACAUCUCUUCUUGUAUUAUUUAUGAGGUAUAGCCUGCCCACUGUUUAAAUAAUGAAGGGCUGCGGUAUUUUGACCGUACAAAGGUAGCAUAAUCAUUAGUCUUUUAAUUGGAGGCUGGAAUGAAGGGUUGGACGAGAUACAUUCUGUAUUAUUAUUAUUAAUUUUGAAUUUAAUUAUUAAGUUAUAAAGCUUAAAUAUUUUUAUGGGACGAGAAGACCCUAUAGAGCUUUAUAUUAAUUAAUAUUUUAUUAAGUAAUAUUGGUGAAUUUUAUAUUAUUUAAUAUUUUGUUGGGGUGAUAGGGAGAUAAGAUUAACUCUUUUUGUUGUUGGAUAUUUAUAUAUAAUUAUUUUGAUCUUUUUUUAGUGAUUAUAAGAAUAAGUUACCUUAGGGAUAACAGCGUAAUCUUCUUUGAGAGUUCAUAUCGAUAAGGGGGUUUGCGACCUCGAUGUUGGAUUAAGAUUAAUUAUGGGUGAAGAGGUUCAUAUAUUAGGUCUGUUCGACCUUUAAAAUCUUACAUGAUCUGAGUUCAAAUCGGUUUAAGCCAGAUUGGUUUCUAUCUAUAAUUUAUAUAUUUAUUUUAGUACGAAAGGACCAAAUAA